rnacentral:rRNA from 1 species
GACGAACGCUGGCGGCGUGCCUAAUACAUGCAAGUUGAGCGAUGAAGAUUGGUGCUUGCACCAAUUUGAAGAGCAGCGAACGGGUGAGUAACGCGUGGGGAAUCUGCCUUUGAGCGGGGGACAACAUUUGGAAACGAAUGCUAAUACCGCAUAACAACUUUAAACAUAAGUUUUAAGUUUGAAAGAUGCAAUUGCAUCACUCAAAGAUGAUCCCGCGUUGUAUUAGCUAGUUGGUGAGGUAAAGGCUCACCAAGGCGAUGAUACAUAGCCGACCUGAGAGGGUGAUCGGCCACAUUGGGACUGAGACACGGCCCAAACUCCUACGGGAGGCAGCAGAAGGGAAUCUUCGGCAAUGGACGAAAGUCUGGCCGAGCAACGCCGCGUGAGUGAAGAAGGUUUUCGGAUCGUAAAACUCUGUUGGUAGAGAAGAACGUUGGUGAGAGUGGAAAGCUCAUCAAGUGACGGUAACUACCCAGAAAGGGACGGCUAACUACGUG